UUUAAUUAAACACGAGGAAGAUGGGAUCAUUCGGGUAAGUAUUUAGUAUUGUUUAUUGUUUGUUUUUAAGUUGAGUUGAAACGAAAAAUUAUUUUGUUUAACUGAAAAUGUUGUAAAAAUGUAUAAUAUUAGUGAUUUUAAGUUUUUGUGAUUGUUUUGUGUAUUUUUUCUUAAAUUAUAAAGUGAUUGUAUAUUUGCGAAUGAAUUUAAUAGAAUUUUUGGAAAGAAAUCUGUAAGAAAAAUGUGUUAAGUUAUAUGUAAACAAAAUUAUUUGGAUUUUUUGACAAAUUGUAUGACAAGUGAUUUUAGUUGGUAUUAAAUUCUAAAUUUUACUGGAUCAUAUUAGAUGUUGUCAUCGCUGAAGAAAUUAGUGAGUUAGAAAUUAAUUAUCUGGUACGAUUAAAAAAAUGUAUUUGUAAUGAGUGAGUAAUUGUUGUAUGAAAUGUGUAUUAAGUGUGUUUGAAUGUUGGUAUGAUAUAAGUUGUCUUUGCGACAUGUGUAUGAAAUGUAUAUUAAGAAAGUAUGAAUUUCGUUUGUAGUCGUGUCUGAUGAAAUGUAUGAAAAGUUUUUUUAAUGUUGUAUUGAUGGUGAAAUUUUAUGUAGACAUUUGUGUAUAAAGUUUUUUGUUAUUAAAUAAGUAUUUGUUGUAUGAUUUAUGUAUUAUAGUAGUAUGAAAGUGCUUGGAAUGUACUAUUUGAAUGAUAUUUGUAAGAAUUGUUUGUUUAAUUAAAUAUAAAAAUUGUUCUGUAAUAUUUUGUUUGUUUGAAUGAUAUUUAUAUUUCGAAUUGUUUGUU
rnacentral:lncRNA from 1 species